AGAUUCUUUUAAUACCUUCAUCUUCACUUAACCCCUUCUUAACAAAGAGCAAUUCUAUAUCUCUAUAGAAAAUUUUAUGUUAAAACUAGUAAUAAGAAGCUAGCCCUUCUCUUUAAUGCAAACUUAUAUCAGCCAGGACACCCCACUGAUUAUUAACGUCCCUAAAACCAUUGUAAUAACUAAUCAAGAAAAUAUUACCUUCUCUUACGUUAACCUAACACAAGAGCAUUUUAAGAAAGAUUAAAAGAAAAAGAAGGAACUCGGCAAAUUUUAGCCUCGCCUGUUUACCAAAAACAUCGCCUCUUGAGUAUUAAUAAGAGGUCAUGCCUGCCCAGUGACUCUGUUCAACGGCCGCGGUAUCCUAACCGUGCGAAGGUAGCGUAAUCACUUGUUCUUUAAAUGAGGACUAGUAUGAAUGGCCCCACGAAGGCUACACUGUCUCCUUUUUCUAAUCAAUGAAACUAAUCUUCUCGUGAAGAAGCGAGAAUAAUUUUAUAAGACGAGAAGACCCUAUGGAGCUUUAAACAACUGAAAUAUUUGCUUUAACUUUAUAUUCUUCCCGAGUUUUUCCCACAUUCAAGCAUUUUAAUUUCUAGUUUUAGGUUGGGGUGACCACGGAGCAAAAUUUAACCUCCAUGACGAAUAAAGCAUUUUCCUUUAAACUAAAAGCUACUACUUUAAGCAUCAACAAAUUGACUUUCAUUGACCCAAUAUUUUGAUCAACGAACCAAGUUACCCUAGGGAUAACAGCGCAAUCUACUUCGAGAGCUCAUAUCGACAAGUAGGUUUACGACCUCGAUGUUGGAUCAGGGUAUCCUAGUGGUGCAGCCGCUACUAAAGGUUCGUUUGUUCAACGAUUAAAACCCUACGUGA
rnacentral:rRNA from 1 species